rnacentral:rRNA from 1 species
AAACGAUGCCACCAGUAAUCCGUCUGAGUUCCUUAAAUGACUCGACGGGCGACUUCCGGGAAACCAAAGUUUUUCGGUUUCAGGGGAAGUAUGGCUGCAAAGCUGAAACUUAAAGAAAUUGACGGAAGGGCACCACCAGGAGUGGAGCCUGCGGCUUAAUUUGACUCAACACGGGAAAACUCACCUGGCCCGGACACCGUGAGGAUUGACAGAUUGAGAGCUCUUUCUUGAUUCGGUGGUUGGUGGUGCAUGGCCGUUCUUAGUUGGUGGAGUGAUUUGUCUGGUUUAUUCCGAUAACGAGCGAGACUCUAGCCUACUAAAUAGUUACUGGAUAAUUGCGUCCAGAAGACUUCUUAGAGGGACAAGCGGUGUUCAGCCGCACGAAGCUGAGCAAUAACAGGUCUGUGAUGCCCUUAGAUGUCCAGGGCUGCACGCGCGCUACACUGGAGGAAUCAGCGUGCUGUAACCAUUGCCGAAAGGCAUUGGUAACCCCUUGAAAAUCCUCCGUGAUCGGGAUCGGGAAUUGCAAUUAUUUCCCUUGAACGAGGAAUUCCUAGUAAGUGUGAGUCAUCAGCUCACGUUGAUUACGUCCCUGCCCUUUGUACACACCGCCCGUCGCUGCCCGGGACUGAGCCGUUUCGAGAAAUGCGGGGACUGCUGUUUCGAUACCUUUCGGGGUGGAGAUUCUUUGGUGGGAACCGCCUUUAUCGCAGAGGCUUGAA